CACGCAGGCGGUCUGUAAAGCGGUGGGUGCAAUCUCGAGGCUCAACCUCGAAACUGCUUGCCGAACUGGCAGACUAGAGCACGGGAGAGGACAGUGGAAUUCCCGGUGUAGCGGUGGAAUGCGUAAAUAUCGGGAGGAACACCAGUGGCGAAGGCUGCUGUCUGGAACGUUGCUGACGCUGAGGUGCGAAAGCUAGGGGAGCGAACG
rnacentral:rRNA from 1 species